UGCAUAUGUGUUCGUGCAGAAAACAAAUCCUCUUUUACAACCCAGAACUCAUUAUUUAGUAUGAGUUUUGAUAUCUGUUAAACAGCUUAUA
rnacentral:snoRNA from 1 species